AUGGAACGCUGGCGGCAUGCCUUACACAUGCAAGUCGAACGGCAGCACGGGUGCUUGCACCUGGUGGCGAGUGGGGAACGGGUGAGUAAUGCAUCGGAACGUACCCGGAAGUGGGGGAUAACGUAGCGAAAGUUACGCUAAUACCGCAUAUUCUGUGAGCAGGAAAGCAGGGGAUCUUCGGACCUUGCGCUUUCGGAGCGGCCGAUGUCGGAUUAGCUAGUUGGUGAGGUAAAGGCUCACCAAGGCGACGAUCCGCAGCGGGUAUGAGAGGAUGAUCCGCCACACUGGGACUGAGACACGGCCCAGACUCCUACGGGAGGCAGCAGUGGGGAAUUUUGGACAAUGGGGGCAACCCUGAUCCAGCCAUGCCGCGUGAGUGAAGAAGGCCUUCGGGUUGUAAAGCUCUUUUGUCAGGGAAGAAAUGGUCUGGGUUAAUACCCUGGGCAGAUGACGGUACCUGAAGAAUAAGCACCGGCUAACUACGUGCCAGCCGCCGCAGUAA
rnacentral:rRNA from 1 species